UGGAACAAAAUACCUGGGAAUAUGCCAACCAGGACUGUCUGAAUAGAGGGGCAACGCUAGUCAUCAUAAACAACCAAGAGGAACAGAAAUUCCUCAUUACAUUAAACAUAAAUACUUGGAUCGGUCUGUCUGACAUAGAGACUGAGGGGACCUGGAGAUGGGUGGAUGGCACACCUCUGACUACAGCGUACUGGGGAGCACCACAGCCUGAUAAUGGUGGUGGUACUGUAGGAGAGGAGGACUGUGCUGAGUUUGUUAAUUGGUAUACUGAUCCUGUAAAGAAAUGGAAUGAUGUUCCAUGUACCACGCAACUUAAUUGGAUUUGU